rnacentral:rRNA from 1 species
GUGGGGAAUAUUGGGCAAUGGGGGAAACCCUGACCCAGCAACGCCGCGUGAAGGAAGAAGGUUUUCGGAUCGUAAACUUCUAUCCUUGGUGAAGAUAAUGACGGUAGCCAAGAAGGAAGCCCCGGCUAACUACGUGCCAGCAGCCGCGGUAAUACGUAGGGGGCAAGCGUUGUCCGGAAUGAUUGGGCGUAAAGGGCGCGUAGGCGGCCUGGUAAGUCUGGAGUGAAAGUCCUGCUUUUAAGGUGGGAAUUGCUUUGGAUACUGUCGGGCUUGAGUGCAGGAGAGGUAAGCGGAAUUCCCGGUGUAGCGGUGAAAUGCGUAGAGAUCGGGAGGAACACCAGUGGCGAAGGCGGAUUACUGGACGAUAACUGACGCUGAGGCGCGAAAGCGUGGGGAGCAAACAGGAUUAGAAACCCCGGUAGUCC